rnacentral:lncRNA from 1 species
AAAAAACGAAAAAAACGAAAAAAAAAAAUAUAAAACGAAAAAAAAAAUAUAACAAAAAAAAAAAUUGGACUUGGGCCUCUCUCAUUUUAGCCCACAGGUCCACAAAAAUCAGGUUAUAAAUUCAGAGUUUCAGUGAAACAAAAGGAGGCCAUUUGUAUUACCCUAGCAGGAAAAAGAAAGUGAGAGAAGAGCUAACAGAGUUCAGAGCAACCUCCAGAGGCUGAAGGGAACUCAUCGGCAAAGAACCAAUUCCCUCUCAUAUAAACCCUCAGAUUGCUCUGCAAACCUCACGGGUGCAAC